AUACGGAGGGUGCAAGCGUUAUGCGGAAUCACUGGGCGUAAAGCGCGCGCAGGCGGCUAUUUAAGUUGGAUGUGAAAGCCUACGGCUCAACCGUAGAACUGCAUCCAAAACUAUUUAGCUAGAGUGUGGGAGAGGAAGAUGGAAUUAGUUGUGUAGGGGUAAAAUCCGUAGAGAUAACUAGGAAUACCAAAAGCGAAGGCAAUCUUCUGGAACACUACUGACGCUGAGGCGCGAAAGCGUGGGGAGCAAACGGGAUUAGAAACCCUAGUAGUCC
rnacentral:rRNA from 1 species